UGCAUUCAGCUGCCCAGUCUGGGAAGGCCUUCAGCUGAGAGCAGGCAGAAUAUCUGGCAGCCACACGCUACCCCAAGUAACAGGACAGGGCAAUGCAGUGCAAAAGCUUCAGCCCCAAGCUGGUGCCAAAACAGUUUCCCCCAGAGAUAAGUGUUAGGCACCACCACCAUGCAGUAUCUAGGAAUUAUCAAGAGCUUUGGAGAAGUAGCAACUCCGUCCUCUGGAGAAAAAAAAACUGUCUACAUGGAAUUAUUAACUCCAGGCAAGAGACUCAGAGACGGAAAGUGCCAGAAAUGUGCAGAGGUCUCAAACUAAGAAGCCUAAAGGACCAGCCAGGAGAAGCAAUGAGAGAAGACAGCAGGGUAGUUCCCUGUUGAGAUUAGAGACUUAUACCAGCAUAACGUUAUGGAAUACUGGCUCUGCACGAGGCUCUCUGACGAAAGGUUUCAAGAUUAAACCAGUUUGGUAAACCAUGCAUGCUCUUGUUCCCCUCUUGGAGAUUCACAAUGCAUGUCUGCCUAUUAAAACUCUGAGCACUCCAACA